rnacentral:rRNA from 1 species
AGCAUAAUCAUUUGUCUUUUAAUUGAAGACUAGAACAAAAGAUUCAACUUUUUUAUUAAUUUCUUUAUAAUAAUUACCCAACUUAUCCUAAAUGUAAAAAGACAUUUAUUAAAAAAAAAGACGACAAGACCCUAAUGAACUUAACUUUAGUUAUACUGGGGCAGUAAAUUAAUUAAUAUUUUAAUUAAAAAAAGAUAAUCAAAAACUAAUUUAAUUAAAUAAUUAGUUACCAUAGGGAUAACAGCGUAAUCUAUUUUCUAARAUCCUAUAAAAAUAUAAGAUUACRACCUCGAUGUUGAAUUAAUAAUCUCUAUUUCGCAAAAGAAAUAUAAGAUGGUCUGUUCGACCAAUAAAUAAUUACAUGAUUUGAGUUCAGACCGGUAUAAGCCAGGUCGGUUUCCAUCUUUUAUAUAAUAUUAUAUAGUACGAAAGGACCUAUAAUUAUAAUCUAAUUAUUAUAUUAACAGACAAUGUAUUAGAUUUAGAAUCUAAAUAAUCUUAUAUUUAU